rnacentral:rRNA from 1 species
UACGAAGGGGGCUAGCGUUGCUCGGAAUCACUGGGCGUAAAGCGCACGUAGGCGGCUUUCUAAGUCAGGGGUGAAAUCCCGAGGCUCAACCUCGGAACUGCCUUUGAUACUGGGGAUAUCGAGUCCGGGAGAGGUGAGUGGAACUGCGAGUGUAGAGGUGAAAUUCGUAGAUAUUCGCAAGAACACCAGUGGCGAAGGCGGCUCACUGGCCCGGUACUGACGCUGAGGUGCGAAAGCGUGGGGAGCAAACAGG